rnacentral:rRNA from 1 species
UACGUAGGGGGCUAGCGUUGUCCGGAAUCAUUGGGUGUAAAGAGCGUGUAGGCGGUCCGGUAAGUCCGCUGUGAAAGUCGGGGGCUCAACCCUCGAAUGCCGGUGGAUACUGUCGGGCUAGAGUGCGGAAGAGGCGAGUGGAAUUCCUGGUGUAGCGGUGAAAUGCGCAGAUAUCAGGAGGAACACCAAUAGCGAAGGCAGCUCGCUGGGACGUUACUGACGCUGAGGCGCGAAAGCGUGGGGAGCGAACAGG